CGUAUCACUUAAAGCGAUUCAGCGGGUUACGAUUGACGGAGCGAAGCGACGUCAAAGCGUAUACAAAGUCGAGUCGGUUUAAGGAUACGUUCGUUGGGUAGGGGAGCGUUCUGUAAGCCUGUGAAGGUGGCCUGUGAGGGUUGCUGGAGGUAUCAGAAGUGCGAAUGCUGACAUAAGUAACGAUAAAGCGGGUGAAAAGCCCGCUCGCCGGAAGACCAAGGGUUCCUGUCCAACGUUAAUCGGGGCAGGGUGAGUCGACCCCUAAGGCGAGGCCGAAAGGCGUAGUCGAUGGGAAACGGGUUAAUAUUCCCGUACUUGGUGUUACUGCGAAGGGGGGACGGAGAAGGCUAUGUUGGCCGGGCGACGGUUGUCCCGGUUUAAGCGUGUAGGUGUGUGUUCCAGGUAAAUCCGGUUCACUUUAACACUGAGGCGUGAUGACGAGGCACUACGGUGCUGAAGCAACAAAUGCCCUGCUUCCAGGAAAAGCCUCUAAGCAUCAGGUAACAUCAAAUCGUACCCCAAACCGACACAGGUGGUCAGGUAGAGAAUACCAAGGCGCUUGAGAGAACUCGGGUGAAGGAACUAGGCAAAAUGGUGCCGUAACUUCGGGAGAAGGCACGCUGACACGUAGGUGAAGUGAUUUACUCAUGGAGCUGAAGUCAGUCGAAGAUACCAGCUGGCUGCAACUGUUUAUUAAAAACACAGCACUGUGCAAACACGAAAGUGGACGUAUACGGUGUGACGCCUGCCCGGUGCCGGAAGGUUAAUUGAUGGGGUCAGCGCAAGCGAAGCUCCUGAUCGAAGCCCCGGUAAACGGCGGCCGUAACUAUAACGGUCCUAAGGUAGCGAAAUUCCUUGUCGGGUAAGUUCCGACCUGCACGAAUGGCGUAAUGAUGGCCAGGCUGUCUCCACCCGAGACUCAGUGAAAUUGAACUCGCUGUGAAGAUGCAGUGUACCCGCGGCAAGACGGAAAGACCCCGUGAACCUUUACUAUAGCUUGACACUGAACAUUGAGCCUUGAUGUGUAGGAUAGGUGGGAGGCUUUGAAGUGUGGACGCCAGUCUGCAUGGAGCCGACCUUGAAAUACCACCCUUUAAUGUUUGAUGUUCUAACGUGGACCCGUAAUCCGGGUUGCGGACAGUGUCUGGUGGGUAGUUUGACUGGGGCGGUCUCCUCCUAAAGAGUAACGGAGGAGCACGAAGGUUGGCUAAUCCUGGUCGGACAUCAGGAGGUUAGUGCAAUGGCAUAAGCCAGCUUGACUGCGAGCGUGACGGCGCGAGCAGGUGCGAAAGCAGGUCAUAGUGAUCCGGUGGUUCUGAAUGGAAGGGCCAUCGCUCAACGGAUAAAAGGUACUCCGGGGAUAACAGGCUGAUACCGCCCAAGAGUUCAUAUCGACGGCGGUGUUUGGCACCUCGAUGUCGGCUCAUCACAUCCUGGGGCUGAAGUAGGUCCCAAGGGUAUGGCUGUUCGCCAUUUAAAGUGGUACGCGAGCUGGGUUUAGAACGUCGUGAGACAGUUCGGUCCCUAUCUGCCGUGGGCGCUGGAGAACUGAGGGGGGCUGCUCCUAGUACGAGAGGACCGGAGUGGACGCAUCACUGGUGUUCGGGUUGUCAUGCCAAUGGCACUGCCCGGUAGCUAAAUGCGGAAGAGAUAAGUGCUGAAAGCAUCUAAGCACGAAACUUGCCCCGA
rnacentral:rRNA from 3 species